CGGGACCUCAGGUCAGGCGGGGCUACCCGCUGAGUUUAAG
rnacentral:rRNA from 4 species